rnacentral:sRNA from 1 species
UCGGAGUCCUCCUCUGGGGCUUAUGCCUCUCUGUCCACCGACUCCCACAACUACACCAUGCGGGAAUUUGCCCUGCGUUACUUCCGGAAGUCCCAGGCCUCGCUGGACCAGACAGAUGGAGGUGCCGCAGGGAAGGACACGGACAGCCUGGUGCAGUACACCAAGGCUCCCAUCCAGGAGUCGCUCCUCAGCCUCAGUGAUGAUGUGAGCAAGCUGGCAGUGGCCAGCUUCCUGGGUGAGUGGCCACAGGCAUCCUGGGUCCCCAUGUCUGCCGUGCCAUGAACCUGGGUGUCUGGUCCCUUUAUGUCCUUGAGCUCUGCCUGGCUCCGUCCCAGUCUGCCAACUCUGGGAAGCUCACUGGUGGUUCCUGGACCCCAGGGCCCUCACCCACUUCUACUCCCACUCAAGGGUUGUGGGUUGUGUGGAGUCUGGGGUUGGAAGGCAGUCCAUGGGUCCAGAAGAUGCUGUGUGGGGCCUUGGAUACCCAGGAGCCUGUUUCCCCAUGAGUCGAG